CACCUAGGAAUGUUCGGCUUGACCCAUGACUCAACAUGGCUUAAUGGGAGUAGAGAUAUGACCAGAACAGGACUUUGAAAUUGACCUAACCUGCGCCUAUGCCUUCUUCAUCAUGCCUUCUUUUCCCAUGAGAAUAAACUUUGGGCAGCCUCUGGAUGAAGAAGGGAAACGGAUAACAGGAAUCUAUCACGCCACGCUGUACUGAAGAGUAAUGAAUAGUGCUGUUAACAAAUGA